CAAAUCAUCAGAUUCUGUUUUUAUAUACAUUUUACCAAACGUCACAACUUCUUUGAAUCUGGGGUUGUAUAAUGCUGCCGAUUAAAAUGGUCUGAUUUGUUUCCCAUGGUGAGAACAUGAUGAGUGACUCUGUUGUCCAGCACCCAGAGUCUCUGUCAGCCCAGCCUGGAGACUCUGUGACUCUCAGCUGUUCUGUUCACACCACCCACUGUGCAGCAGAAUACACUGGUGUCAUGUGGCUGAGAAACGCUCCUCAUUCUGCUCCACAAACGGUUCACCCAUCCGGACAAAAGAACCAGAUCUGCAGGAGGACUGAGAGUAGAAACGUUACCUGUGUGUACAACCUCGUCAUGAGGAACCUCAGCUACGCGGAUGAUGGGACAUACUUCUGUGUUGCGACUGCAUGUGAACAAACAUUGUUUGGCAAUGGAACCAAACUGAAUUUGUGGGUGGCCUUCUUCGUGUGUGUGAUCGUCAAGAAAAUCUGCAACCAAUGCAGAGAACUUUUCAAUCCAAACAACACGAGCGCUGAGAGUCUCAGAGAUGAAGACUUUGUCCAACGUGGAGCGGCAAGAGAGAGCCAAAUCAUCAGAUCAAAAGGAAGAAGAGACGACACCUGGAGUGAAUGUGUGUACUUUGGUGUAACGCAGUAAAGCUGGGCAUGUUUUCAUUUCAAUUCCUGAAAUACAAUGACAAUGACAUGGUGACAAAGUGUCAGUGUAAAUACUUUCCCUGCAAUAAAGCCACUGAACAAGCUUCUC